UUAUGCUGAUUAAGGAUCAUUCCACCAGGAACAACUGACAUUUCAAGGCCCAAAAAAUAAUGCAAAGAUCCUAGGUCUUUGAUUUUAAACUGAUCAUCAAGAAACAGUUUCAGGGCAGUAAUCUCAUCACUCUCAUCCCCAUUAAGAAUAAUAUCAUCCACAUAGACUGCCACAACCACAAGGGACCCACGUUUACCUUUGAUGACCAAAGAAUAGUUAUUCAAAGAAUGUGUGUACCCUCUGGAAUAAAGAGCAGAAGACAAUUUGGCAUACCAUUGUCUGGAUGCUUGUCUCAGCCCAUAUAGGGAUUUCUUGAGCAGGUCUUUGAUUUUAAACUGAUCAUACAGAAAUGGUUUCAGGGCAGUAAUCUCAUCACUGUCAUCCCCAGUAAGGAUAAUAUCAUCCACAUAGACUGCCACAACCACAAGGGACCCAGAUUUACCUUUGAUGAACAAAGAAUAGUCAUUCAAAGAAUGUGUGUACCCUCUGGAAUAAAGAGCAUAAGACAGUUUGGCAUACCAUUAUCUGGAUGCUUGUCUCAGCCCAUAGAGGGAUUUCUUAAGCUUACAAACCAGAGGAGAAGGAGUAGAAGAUGUAGGAGAAACAGAACCAGAAAGAGGAGAAGAGACUGUCAAACCUGGGGGAAGUUUCAUAUAAACUUCCUCAUCCAAAUCCCCAUGGAGAAAAGUAUUAUUAACAUCAAGUUGAAACAGAGGCCAGUGAUUCUUGACGGCCACAACAAUAAGACAUUCACAGUGGUCAUCUUAAUCACAGGAGAAAAAGUGUCAGUAAAAUCAAUCCCUUCAACUUGANNNNNNNNNNNNNNNNNNNNNNNNNNNNNNNNNNNNNAAAGGUGUCAGUAAAAUCAAUCCCUUCAACUUGAGUAUCACCCCUAAUAACAAGCCUAGCUUUAUACCUUUCAACAGUACCAUCAGCCUUGUAUUUGAUUGUAUAGACCUAUUUACAGCCAAUGGGUUUCUUACCAGGAGGAAGAGGAACAACAUCCCAGGUAUGGGUUGCUUCCAAAGCAUCAAACUCCUGUCUCAUGGCAUGCUGCCAUGCUGGA
rnacentral:lncRNA from 1 species